rnacentral:rRNA from 1 species
AGUGAACGCUGGCGGUAGGCCUAACACAUGCAAGUCGAACGGCAGCACAGUAAGAGCUUGCUCUUACGGGUGGCGAGUGGCGGACGGGUGAGGAAUACAUCGGAAUCUACUUUUUCGUGGGGGAUAACGUAGGGAAACUUACGCUAAUACCGCAUACGACCUACGGGUGAAAGCAGGGGAUCUUCGGACCUUGCGCGAUUGAAUGAGCCGAUGUCGGAUUAGCUAGUUGGCGGGGUAAAGGCCCACCAAGGCGACGAUCCGUAGCUGGUCUGAGAGGAUGAUCAGCCACCCUGGAACUGAGACACGGUCCAGACUCCUACGGGAGGCAGCAGUGGGGAAUAUUGGACAAUGGGCGCAAGCCUGAUCUAGCCAUACCGCGUGGGUGAAGAAGGCCUUCGGGUUGUAAAGCCCUUUUGUUGGGAAAGAAAAGCAGCAGGUUAAUACCCCGCUGUUCUGACGGUACCCAAAGAAUAAGCACCGGCUAACUUCGUG